rnacentral:lncRNA from 1 species
GCCAAAGAAGACAACAUAUAUAAUAACAGAGUGUAUAGCGAUAAAUGUCACAAUAACAUCAGAGUAUUUAUUACAUAGCGGAAGUCUUACAAAAUAAAUUAUAAAUAUAGAUCAAACUAAAUCCAUCCUUGGUGCAAUAAAGUCAACUGGGAUACGCCACCUAGAUCGAAUCGAACUCCUCGAAGUGUGGCUCCUCCUGAACCACCUGUUCUUCUCCCGUGGGGGGUGUGAGACAGCAAAGGUGAGCUCACACAUGAUUAUAACUCAACAAGUUGUGGGGAAUAAUGUGCAUGAACUCACCAAAGGUGGGAGCUCAUGAAGUGUGAGGCUUACCAAAGAGAAUGGUUAAAGUUGAGCAUUGCUUUUAAAGUUGGUCAAAAUUUUAUUAGCAAUUACUAAGUAUAAGUAGAUACCAAACCAUAAUAAUAAUAGAACAAAAUUAAUACAUAAUCCCAUGCAAAUGCAUAUGACAAAUUGAAUUUAAGUUUCAUAAUUUAAUCAUGCGAGAGUCCUGAGCUACUCAUGACCGUGAGCUCGGCUAGUAUACCAGUUUUACACUCUGCAGAGGUUGUACCCUGUACCCACAAGUCGUGUAUCCCAUGUCGCUAGGGUUAGCUAGACCCUGAGACACUACCGAGGUGAAUGGCUAGGGAUCCACUAUGAGGCCUUUACAAAGAUCCACUAGCUUCCGAAAACCCACUAUGGAAGAGCACUUGCAAGAAUCCCUCGUCUGACCGCCAUCGCAGCAAAAUCAACCCGAGAAUCUCCUUGCAUGCAACUCCCCUACUGCCCUUGCCCCUUUUGGGUAAGGUAGUCUUCCACUAGCUUUUCUAAUUAGUUAGUCAAGGGCGUCCCAUUCCACCCUUGUGGUGGCACGUGUUUCUCAAGUUAAGCUUCAUGUUCCAAUUAACAUUAAUGAUCUUGAGAUGAACAUAAAUAGAAUAACAAAAUAAUUGGAUCAUAGAUAUAAUGAAAUAUUAUCCCAAAACCAUGUAAAGCAAUAGAAAAACUACCCAAGUGAUUCAGGGAUAACAAGGUAAAAUGAAUAAACAGGCUAGGGUGACCUAUUGGGUCCCAUCAAAAUUAAACCUAUGCAUGAAUAAGUGAUAUUAAAGAACAUUACUGGGUAAACAUAAAUGAUCAAGGGCACAACUUGCCUCGCACUUGAGCUUCCAAUUACCAGGAUGAUUCUUCAGAUCCUCGUAACCUUGCACUAGUUAUAGCAAUACAAACAGACAUGGUAUAGACAAAAUUAACAUCACACCAAACAUAAGAACAUACUGCAUAAUAAUGAUCUACGCGUGCUACGAGAUUGUGGGAACGAAAACCACUAAAUUCGGAGUUACGAUCCUCAAGUUAUGAUGUGAUUAAAUGAUUAAAACCAGGUUUUAUUUUAUAAUUCCAGAGAAAAGAUAACCUAAAGUAGUAAUUAAUUCAACUUUAAUCUAAAUCACAAAUUGACCAUAGAUCAUAUUUUAGUAGAUUACAAUGGUAAGUAGAUUAACAAGACUAACCAACAUAAGUUAAAUAAAGACCUUAUUAUAAAAGAAUGAGACAUGGUAUAAUAAGUGUUGUUAUUGCAUAGUAAAUAUUUAUACAAGACUAACACAACUUGAACGGAUCAAAUCAAAGUUAAAACGGAGAAGUUACAGAUUUCCUAAGGUUUUAUGUAUUAGAUACGAGAUUAAUUAAAAGAUAAGUUUUAAUAUGUUUUUCAUGUCACAACAGAGACACUAGGUGAUACACAAUAAUAUUAUAAAAUUAUAGAAACUGGAAUGAGCUCAUUUGGACUUAAUAUGAAUUUUCUAUGAAUUAAAUGAGUUUCUGCAAUUAUUUUUAAACCCAAAAUCAAUUUCUAAAUUCCUUUUCCUUACUUUCUUUAUCUCCUAGACUGCGCCUCAAUUUCUAUAAAAGAUAGGGGUCUCUGCGCAAAGGUCCCAAGACAUAGAGAAUAGCCCUAUGGAUUGCGGGUUCUAAUUCCUGAUUUCUAGGGGUCUCUUUUAUAAAAACACACGGUGAAGGGUAUCAUCUGAUUUCAGCCGUUGGAUCAGAUCCAAAGGCCGAGAUUAGAUCGUGGUCUUCUUAAAGGGCUACGCUCUGAUCACCGCCGGAUCCAGAAUCAACGGUAGAGAACGAAGCCGAUCCAAACCCACACACUGGUCAUCCGAUGUCGUAUCAACGCCCAGGAUUUUAAAAAGGCAGUGAUCUACCUCGCCCAUGCGAUCGCAGAUCAACGACCCAGGCUUGAUCUACAGAAACGAUACACCCGAUCAACCCACACCAUAGGUUGCAAGAUCAACGGCACACACCCCUUCUUCUUCCCUGAACCCGCGCACGACGGCAGCGAUUCGAGCGGGGGCCGCACGCCUCGCCGGAGCAAGCUAUUCGGCGACCCAAGGCGUGAUCCUAGCGUUCAACUGGCGCAACGCAAAUAGGAGGACUUAGUGAAUCGAUGGAGGUAUACCGUACCGUGGACUGCAGUCCGGUUGACGAUGGUCACGCAGGUCAGCUCGAGGUGCAGACACCAGUGGUGAGCAGACAGUCGUCGGAGAUGGCGAUGCCCCCACCCUUCAACCACGUACGGUUCUGUCGAGCCCGGGGAUUAUCCUCAACCAACCACCGACGCAAGUACACCGUUGACGGGGUGACUGUGGCGCUUGCGGCACAACUCUCUCUCUCCUAUCCUUCUCGGCGGACCUACCCUGCCCAGUGGAGGCACGGACGUCGAUGAGGGUUGUGCCCAGAUUGUUGACGAGGUUUUGCGCGCGGCCGGGUUUAUAUGUGCUGGUGCCAAGGAGCCCGAGAUGCGCGAUUGGAGGAACGACCCGUGCGAAGAACGUGAGGUUGUUCACGCCGCGCCGAUUUCGCGGGG